CUGUAAUAAUCAAGUUUUUUUUUUAUAUCAAUUUGAGUGACUUUUGAAAGAACCAUUUAAUAAUACAUAUUUUUUUUACAUGAACAGUUGUUUGAACGAUCCCGUAUCUUUAUUAUAAAAUGUUCCGUUACACGAGCGUUCGCGAAGAACUUUACAUCAAGAAAAGUUUUCGUUUUUACAGCACUUUCUAGUGGUCAACAUAACAGGAAGGUAUCAUCGGCGC
rnacentral:lncRNA from 1 species